rnacentral:rRNA from 1 species
AUACGGAGGGGGUUAGCGUUGUUCGGAAUUACUGGGCGUAAAGCGCACGUAGGCGGACUGGAAAGUUGGGGGUGAAAUCCCGGGGCUCAACCCCGGAACUGCCUCCAAAACUUCCAAUCUAGAGAUCGAGAGAGGUGAGUGGAAUUCCAAGUGUAGAGGUGAAAUUCGUAGAUAUUUGGAGGAACACCAGUGGCGAAGGCGGCUCACUGGCUCGAUACUCACGCUGAGGUGCGAAAGCGUGGGGAGCAAACAGGAUUAGAAACCCCGGUAGUCC